GCCCCCGUAGCUCAAUGGAUAGAGUCCCGGCCUCCGGAGCCGGUGGUUCAGGUUCGAGUCCUGACGGGGGUACCA
rnacentral:tRNA from 1 species